GACGUAGGGGGCGAGCGUUGUCCGGAUUCAUUGGGCGUAAAGCGCGCGUAGGCGGCCGCGCAAGUCGGGUGUGAAAAUCCGGGGCUCAACCCCGGACCUGCACUCGAUACUGCGUAGCUAGAGGUAGGUAGGGGAGAUCGGAAUUCCUGGUGUAGCGGUGAAAUGCGCAGAUAUCAGGAGGAACACCGGUGGCGAAGGCGGAUCUCUGGGCCUUACCUGACGCUGAGGUGCGAAAGCUAGGGGAGCGAACAGG
rnacentral:rRNA from 1 species